GUAAAAUCCGGGGGAGUGCGCCUUCCGAUGCUGCGCUCACCCCGCGCCCGGUUCUGCCCCUGUCGUGUUACCCUUGCUGCUCCUACGCCGCAGGGGUAGCCCGGUCAUUUGCGCCGCCUCUCGUGUUGGCGCAGAUCUAGGCAGGGGAAAGGCAAUUCGUGUGGACUGGACACUUCAAAGAAAGCGCAGCUCCCGCCGAAGAAAGGGAGGUGGUGGGUGGGUGGGAGAAGAGAACAAAAACUGAAAUAGAGAGAGAAAGAGGAAGCUCUGGGGAGAGAGAAAGAGAGAGAGAGAGGAGGCCUUUGCAGUUGCAGGGGAAGGAGGCGAGGUAGAAGAAAAGUAGGAGGGCGAAGGAGGAGGAGCAUGGAGGAGAUAGUAAAGGGAGGAGGUGAGCCAUUGGAGGUGGAGGAGGAGGGGAGGGCUGCCAGGCCGGCCAAAAGGAGAUUUGGCGCUGUGGGCCCACCCCCCAGCUGAGGAGCAAGAGACGAGGGAGGAGGAAGAGUAUCUGCUCUCACGUCGGAGGAGGGGGAAAGCAUAAAGGGAGGGGCAAGGGAGAGAGAGCUUCCAGGCCGCACAUCCCAGCCAAAGCGAGAAAAUAAAAGCUUCAGAAAGAAGGCUUCAGAGUGAGAGCAAGGGAUCCAGUGAAUGAGGUAUAUGGCUGGGAGCAUCUGGUGCUCUUGCCACCACCUUGCAUAGUGGCAUUGUCUCCUUGUCCCUUUCUCUUGUUCUCCCACCAUUGUAGGUGUGUUGUUAGUUUGGAGGUCAGUAGCUAGGUGCUAGCUCGCCUGCUCCUGUGGCCAAGUGGUGAUGGCAUUGCAAGAGCAGGAAGAGGAGGACGGCGAUGAUGGCGAGGAAGAAGAUGGUGAAGAGGGGAUGAUGAGGGUGCGGGGGAGCUGAUUUCUCCUUGUCCCGAGGUGUGCUGUCCACUUGUGGAGUAGUAAGAUAUUGGCACAAUAGGCUCAAUCACUUUUCCCUUUUUUUCCUCUUGGUUUGAUGUGCUUGCUUUUUCUUCUUCUAAUUCGUCAUUGCACACUCGUUCUCGUGUAAUUUUAUUUCCCUUUGCUGUUCUUGGUGCUUUGCCCGGUUUGGAAUGGAAACGAUUGACAAAAAAUAAAAUAAAAAAGGGAACUGAAAAUAAGCUGGGUGUUUUCUCA